rnacentral:rRNA from 1 species
UACAGAGGGUGCAAACGUUGCUCGGAAUUAUUGGGCGUAAAGCGCGUGUAGGCGGCUUGUUAAGUCGGUUGUGAAAACCCAUGGCUCAACCAUGGAAGGGCGUCCGAAACUGGCAAGCUAGAGUCCUGACGAGGAUGGCGGAAUUCCCAGUGUAGAGGUGAAAUUCGUAGAUAUUGGGAGGAACACCGGUGGCGAAGGCGGCCAUCUGGGAGGGCACUGACGCUGAGGUGCGAAAGCUAGGGGAGCGAACAGG